rnacentral:rRNA from 1 species
AUUGAACGCUGACGGCAUGCUUUACACAUGCAAGUCGAACGGCAGCGCGGGCUUCGGCCUGGCGGCGAGUGGCGAACGGGUGAGUAAUACAUCGGAACGUGCCCAGUAGUGGGGGAUAGCUCGGCGAAAGCCGGAUUAAUACCGCAUACGACCUGAGGGUGAAAGCGGGGGAUCUUCGGACCUCGCGCUAUUGGAGCGGCCGAUGGCAGAUUAGCUAGUUGGUGGGGUAAAGGCCUACCAAGGCGACGAUCUGUAGCUGGUCUGAGAGGACGACCAGCCACACUGGGACUGAGACACGGCCCAGACUCCUACGGGAGGCAGCAGUGGGGAGUUUUGGACAAUGGGCGAAAGCCUGAUCCAGCAAUGCCGCGUGUGUGAUGAAGGCCUUCGGGUUGUAAAGCACUUUUGGCGGGAACGAAAAGGACUGUGCCAAUACCACGGUUCGAUGACGGUACCCGCAGAAUAAGCACCGGCUAACUACGUG